UAGGGAAUCUUCCACAAUGGGCGCAAGCCUGAUGGAGCAACACCGCGUGAGUGAAGAAGGGUUUCGGCUCGUAAAGCUCUGUUGUUGGAGAAGAACGUGCGUGAGAGUAACUGUUCACGCAGUGACGGUAUCCAACCAGAAAGUCACGGCUAACUACGUCGCC
rnacentral:rRNA from 1 species